CAAUCAGAUGAAUGUCUGUGUGACUUGGGGCUUCACAGCAGUCUGAAAUUGCACUGGUCUGACGCUGAACCGCUUAACCCCCGCUCGCGUGGUUUAAUGCACUGAGGCGACGAUGCGGUGGGGCGUCGCAGCCACAGGCAUACGCAUAGCCAUAGCACCCGCCCUCAUCAAUGCAAUGUGCACAGCAUUGAACCGCUUAGCUCAGUAUUGAACAGUUAGCGUUGCUAAAACAACUUCGCGAAAAUAUUCAAGUACGAGAUUUUCAAAGUGAAAUAAUUAAAAAUUUGCGAGCUUGAUGUGAAAUAAAAUAAAUGCGUGAAUUAAUGUGAUACAGGUGCAAGUGAUAUGCUUUGUUGAUGCAAAUAAGCAAAAGAAUAUUUCAAAAAAAAAAAGUUUGUAUAAAAAAAAAUAAUCUAAAAAAAAUGUUGAGCUGCAAUAUUAAGCCAAUUAGUGAUAUAACGUGAAACACACCCAGUAAAUGUAAAAAGAAGCUGUGCAAUUUUUUGAAAAGUAAAUUCCAACAAAUCCGACAAAAAUAUUUCACCUUGCCCAUGGCAGCUACAGUCAGUCAUAUUUCAAGGUUUUAAGCUCGAAAAAAAUUUAUUUAAAUAUUAUUGCAUUUUCACAUUUUAUAUCAACGCUUGUAUUUAUGUGUGAUCGUUUGUGUCAUAAAUGCCAUAAUAAGCGAAAUAAAGAGGUAAACAGCAAGAAUUGCUGGAUUAUAUUUGCGUGCAUAUGCCAGCGCACACACAUCAGCAUGUACACGCAGGAGCAAUUGUAAGGGCAGAACGAUACACCAUUGCGUUUAAAUGCAGAAAGGAUUACAAACAUACAUAAUUUACUUACAAAAGGAUAUAUGCACAUAUCAUACGCCACGUCGAACAUCAGCCAACAGCGGUGCAUAAAUACAAAAGCAGCACAUACACACACUUAAUCAUACAAAGUACACAUAAGUGUCGUAGUUAACAUUUUAUAUAUUUAACGCACACACACACACACGUACGCGCAAAAUGGAAGACAACAAUAUAAUCGGAGAGGAGGAGGAGACGACCACAUCAACCUCCAAAUGGCGGAAAACGCGUACCACAGUUAAGACUUCAUCUACAACAAAGACUACCACUCUUACUACACCUGCAAAAUUAUAUGGCAAGGACUUGAGCGAAUAUGAUGAGGUUGAUGUUGAUGCUCUGCUGGCACAGUUGUCACCAGAAGAAAUCAACAUUUUAGCCAAAGAAGUUGAUCCCGAUGACAAUUUCCUGCCACCCGAUCAACGUUGCAGCUAUGAAUGCGACAAAGACCCCACCGGCCCAUUGAAUCGUAAGAAGUUGAUUGAACACAUUAACAAACAAGCCUUGGAAGCACCAGAUGAACCCGAAUUCGAACCUUACGUUAAGGGUACUGUACGUGGUAAGAAAUGGGUGCCACCGGCAAGGGAUGAAAGCGAAAUUGCCGCUGAAGAACAGAUCGCUAUCGAUUUGGGCGAUGAAUAUGAACAUGCGCUGAGCGAUGCUACCCAAGAAGAGAUCAUCGAUUUGGCUGCUAUACUUGGUUUCCAUUCGAUGAUGAAUCAGGAUCAAUAUCAUGCUUCAUUGUUGAACAAAGGUCAGCCAGUUGGUAUGGGUUGGGACGGUAUUACAAAAUCAACUCAACCAAAAUUGUUCCCCAUGGAUCCACCAAAUAACACAGAUGUCGAGGAAUCAAUUAAACGUGUAAAAGAUAACGAUACAAAAUUGAUUGAACUGAACUUAAAUAAUAUUAAGAACAUUUCCGAUGAGAAAUUCGAACAACUUUUCCAAGUACUGCCCGAUAAUGAACAUUUGGAAGUUCUGUCCUUAACAAAUGUCGGUCUAACCGAUAAAACGGCUCUCCUAUUGGCUGAAGCAAUUGAGAAAAGCAAAACCCUGAGAGUAUUAAAUGUUGAAACAAAUUUCAUUAGUCCACCUGUUGUUGUGACUUUAGUGAAGGCCCUGCUCAAGUGUCGCACAAUUGAAGAGUUCAGGGCAUCCAAUCAGCGAUCCUCAGUGCUCGGUAAUAAGAUCGAAAUGGAAAUAACCGAAUUAGUGGAAAAGAACUCAUCGUUACUCAGAUUAGGUCUGCAUUUGGAAUUCAAUGAUGCGCGUCACAGAGUCGCCGCACAUUUGCAACGUAACAUCGAUAGAAUAAGAAAAGAUCUUGAGUUACGUCUGCAGUUCAGAUUUUUCAAUAAUCUGCAUAGAAAGUCAACAAGAAUUCAGUAAAAUAAAGAAUGAUCUUAAAAAGUCGAUAUAUAUAUAUAUAUACAUAUAUUUAUAUAUAAAAUGAAUGAAGUAAAACCAAAUAAACAAAAAAAAAAUAUUUACUAAAUAUUUAACGCACUCGUAAGUUAAGACACCAAAUAAACAAAGCGACAAUUGCAAGCAAAUGCUUAAUAAACAAGAAUAGAAAACAAAAAUACGGCAAAACACCGCAUGGACAAUUCAACUUAAACUACCAAGAAAAAAGGAAGAAAAUUGCAAGCAAAAGUUGCUUCGACGUCAUUAAUGAACGCUGUCGAAAUUUCGUAAGGAAUAUUAAAGCAGCAAGCGAGUUGGCUUCUGCGUGAAAUACAUAGAAAAACGCUUGAUUUUGACGUCUUAGCACUUUAUAAUGCAAGCAGCGAGUAUAAAAUAAUACAUAUAUGGAUAUAUAAUUUAGGCGUAAAAAAUAUAUGAAAAUAAAAAUAAUUUCGUUAAAAAUGAGGAAAAAAUGUGAUUUUGAAAAAUCAAACAAGAACACUGCUUCGACAGCAACAGUGCAUAGCUGCAAAUACUAUUCGCACACGAAAAAUCAUUAAUUAUCACAAACCUUAAAUCCAACCAAAGAAGAAAAUCAUUUACACAAAAUGAUAUGUUACACAAGAGAAAAACUUAGGUUUACGUUAAAUCAUAUAUUAAUAUUUUCACAUGCACCACCAUACGAUUAAAAUGCGUGUGACAUAUGAGAAAAAAAGCCGAAGACGAAGAAGACGAAAAACAGAUAUUGAUACUGAUUUAAACACGGAAGUUUCGGGAUAUUCUAAAUGAUUUCUAGGCGUAAAUAUUUAUAAAAUUAAACAAGGAAUUAAACUGCGAUUUAAAUUAUUAAGAGAAAUAAUAACUCUACCCAACAAAAUAAUAAAGCUAACUACAGAUGAGCCUUAACGAAUAAGAGACUUGAAACAUUUAACUCAGAAACGAAGCACAAAAAGCAUAUCCCUCUAAACAGUAAUACCAUGGAAAAAACAACACAAUACUUCACUUAAAAUACCUACAAGCAUCCUUAUAAUUUUACUGAUAACGGUAAAAUAAUAUAUUCAAUCAUAAAACACAGCAAAAUGAAACCAAAAAUAAAUUAUAAAUUAAAUGGAAAAAAAAUAAAAAAUAAAAAA
rnacentral:misc_RNA from 1 species